rnacentral:rRNA from 1 species
UGGGGAAUAUUGCACAAUGGGGGAAACCCUGAUGCAGCGACGCCGCGUGGAGGAAGAAGGUCUUCGGAUUGUAAACUCCUGUUGUUGGGGAAGAUAAUGACGGUACCCAACAAGGAAGUGACGGCUAACUACGUGCCAGCAGCCGCGGUAAAACGUAGGUCACAAGCGUUGUCCGGAAUUACUGGGUGUAAAGGGAGCGCAGGCGGGCGAUCAAGUUGGAAGUGAAAUCCAUGGGCUCAACCCAUGAACUGCUUUCAAAACUGGUCGUCUUGAGUAGUGCAGAGGUAGGCGGAAUUCCCGGUGUAGCGGUGGAAUGCGUAGAUAUCGGGAGGAACACCAGUGGCGAAGGCGGCCUACUGGGCACCAACUGACGCUGAGGCUCGAAAGUGUGGGUAGCAAACAGGAUUAGAUACCCUGGUAGUCCACACCGUAAACGAUGAUUACUAGGUGUUGGGAGAUUGACCCUCUCAGUGCCGCAGUUAACACAAUAAGUAAUCCACCUGGGGAGUACGACCGCAAGGUUGAAACUCAAAGGAAUUGACGGGGGCCCGCACAAGCAGUGGAGUAUGUGGUUUAAUUCGACGCAACGCGAAGAACCUUACCAAGUCUUGACAUCCCUUGACAGACAUAGAAAUAUGUAAUCUCUUCGGAGCAAGGAGACAGGUGGUGCAUGGUUGUCGUCAGCUCGUGUCGUGAGAUGUUGGGUUAAGUCCCGCAACGAGCGCAACCCUUAUGGUCAGUUACUACGCAAGAGGACUCUGGCCAGACUGCCGUUGACAAAACGGAGGAAGGUGGGGAUGACGUCAAAUCAUCAUGCCCUUUAUGACUUGGGCUACGCACGUACUACAAUGGCGUUAAACAAAGAGAAGCAAGACCGCGAGGUGGAGCAAAACUCAGAAACAACGUCCCAGUUCGGACUGCAGGCUGCAACUCGCCUGCACGAAGUCGGAAUUGCUAGUAAUCGUGGAUCAGCAUGCCACGGUGAAUACGUUCCC